rnacentral:snRNA from 1 species
GGCAUCACCUAUACUAAAAAAAAAAUUGGAAUGAUACAGAGAAGAUCAGCAUGGGCCCUGUGCAAAGAUGGCACAGAAAUUUGUGAAGUGUUCGGUACUUAC